ACUGUGACAGUGGAAAGAGAUUGCGCUCUGUUGGAGAGGACUGAGCUCCAAGGCAAACUGGAGAACCUAGAGCAGGUGCUGAAGCAUAUGCGAGAGGCUGCAGAGAGGAGGCAGCAGCUAGAAUUAGAGCAUGAACAAGCCUUGGCUGUCCUCAGUGCCAAGCAGCAGGAGAUUGACCUUCUGCAGAAGGCUCAGGUUGAGGCUAAGAAGGAACAUGAAGGUGCUGUCCAUCUGUUAGAGAAUCACUUGGACAGCAUGCAGCUGAGAAGUGUCCUUCGCACUAAGAACACAAUGCGAUUUUUGGCUAAAGUGAGAGAUCUGGAGGAAAAAUGUCGGACGCAGAGUGAGCAGUUUAACCUGCUGUCAAAAGAGUUGGAGAAGUUCAGGUUGCAGGCAGGGAAGUUAGACAUCCUGAGCAGCAGUCAGCUCACAGGGAGCGACUCUCCCAGUUCACCCACCAAACCCCUCACCCUCUCCCAGCUCCUCAAUGGCCUCUCUGCCCCUUCCGGGAAAGGUAAUGAGGAUUCGAUGAGUAAGAUCUCAGAGCUCAUUCGGCCUCUGCAGAUGACUGAGGGGGAGAAGGUAGAGCUCCUGUCUGUUAAACCCACCUUCCUGUCACGAAGCACACCCGCCAGCCCACGACGGGCCUUCCUCUCAGAGGUGCGGCCUGUCAUCGCCACUGCUAUGGAUAAAGAGCCCGGUUCGUCCCCCAGGUCGAAGUCCAGAUACACAGGCAAAGUGAGACUGUGUGUUGCCCGUUACAAUUAUAACCCUUAUGAUGGCCCCAAUGAGCAUCCUGAAGCAGAGCUCCCCCUGGUGGCUGGGAAGUACCUGUAUGUUUAUGGGACCAUGGAUGAGGACGGCUUCUAUGAAGGGGAGUUGUUGGAUGGACAGCAGGGUCUCGUUCCCUCCAACUUUGUGGACUUUGUCCAGGAUGAGGAGCUUCCCUCGAUUCCUCUCUUGGACCGCAUCAAGGAACCGUCCUACCUCAACCACAGCCCCCCCUCCAUGCCGAGCAGCGCCGUGAGCACGCUCAGCACGCUGCUCUCAGACAGGCUGGAUGCCCUGGGCUCAGGUACCGGGACGGGCACCAGCAGCAGCAGUGGGGUGAGCAGCUUGGGCAUGAGCAUUGGGCUGGGCAUGGACUUUCUGGGACCCUGCAGCAACGGCACAGGCACGCUGGACGUGAACAUUGAUGAGAUCGGAGAAGACAUCGUGCCUUACCCCCGCCGAAUUACCUUGAUCAAACAGCUGGCCAAGAGUGUCAUUAUAAGCUGGGAGCCUCCAGUGGUUUUGCCUGGGUGGACGCCCAUCAGUGGCUACAACGUGCUGGUGGAUCAGGAGGUGCGCAUGAGCGUGCCCUUCGGCGGCCGCACCAAGUCUUUGAUCGAGAAGCUGAACCUGGCCUCCUGUACUCACCGCAUCUCUAUCCAGAGCAUGACAGAGCGGGGGCUCUCUGAUCCGCUGCGCUGCACACUGCUGGUGGGGAAAGAUGUGGUGGUGGCACCCUAUUACCUUCGUGUGGAGAACAUCACUCAAGUUUCGGCUGAACUCACCUGGAUGCCGAGCAACAGUAACUACAGCCACAUGAUCUUCCUGAAUGAUGCGGAGUAUGAUGUCGUGAAGCCUGGAGGGUACAAAUACCAUUUCUACAACCUGAAGCCCAUGACUGUGUAUAAGAUACGGGUAGUGGCCCGACCCCAUCAGAUGCCCUGGCAGCUUCCCCUUGAGCAGAGGGAGAAGAAGGAGGUCUCGGUGGAGUUCUGCACACAGCCGGCCGAUCGCCAUGCGUUCUUGCAAAAACGUGAAGUUGAUACUUCAAGAUUGAAUUGCUUCAAUGGUCCUCCUUUACCUCCUCAGGAUGUGCAAGUUCAGUUGGGACAGACACCUGGAGUCUUGCAGAUCCGGUGGAAGCCCCCACCCCUCACUUCUACUGGCACUUCCAAUGGAGCCAGUGUAAUCGGCUACAUAGUCUGCACUAAAGGUCAAAAGAUAGCAGAGAUAAUGUACCCCACAGCAGAUUAUGUUACGGUUGAGCUGAAUCGUAUCCAGUGUCUGGAAGCACGGGAGGUCGUAGUGAGGACAAUAUCAGCACAAGGAGAGUCACAAGACUCUCCCGUGGCCACCAUUCCGCACAGCCUCCUGGUGCCUCACCAUGGACACCCUCACCUCCAGUCUCACCCUCAGACUCACCCACCUCCCUACCCACAAGCCUACCCCCCAACCCAUCCUCAACCUCACGUCCAGCCUCACUCUGGCCCACCACCCCACCCUCACCCUCAUCCCCCACCCUCACAUCCCCACUCCUCGCCCUCCCUGUACCCCUUAUCUAAACCCAAACUCCUACCAAGUGCCAGAGACCCCCAUGCCAAAGAUCCUGAGAUGAGCAGGCGACCGGGACAGUCCUGGGAGCCGCAUCCCCGGGCCCCGUCACCCCUACCACCCCCUUCGCACUCAGGGCACACGCUGGAGCCCCCUCACAUAGAGGGCCGGCGCUCGCCCUCCCCUCAAAGGAUCUUGCCUCAACCUCAGGGAGCGCCCAUUCCUAACACAGUGGCUCGCGCUAUGGCCCGCCAGGCAGCGCAGAGAAACGCCCCGAACAGUAGGGUGGAGAGGAGGAACAUCUUCAGUGAGAAGGGUAAUACUUCGCAGUCUUUAAACUCAGAUGAGGAAGAGGACGGGUACGAUUCCCCCCACACCAGGCGAAGAGGAGCUUCUGUGGACGAGUUUCUCAGAGGUUCUGAGCUGGGCAGACACCAUCAUCAAUACAGCCACAGUGAGGAGUACUACACCGAGAGCAGUCGGGGCUCUGAUCUGUCUGACAUCAUGGAGGAAGAUGAGGAGGAGCUGUACUCGGAGAUGCAGCUGGAAGAAGGCCGCCGCCGCAGCAUCAACUCACACAACACGCUUAAGGCGUAUUACAGGCGUCAGGAUCUAGCGGUGGAACGAGACAGUUGGGACUUGCAGAGGGAGGUGGUACGACAGCGCUCCUUGCGCUCCCACAAGCGGCUCCACAGCAUCCCAGAGGUUGCCGAGGAGGAUCCGGACACUGGGGUGGAGGUCAUGGGUCAGCGGCUGCGUUUCGAGGAGGCUCGUCCAGGCACUCCAUGCAGGAGCCCAAGGCCAUACCACCAGGACUUGCGGCAGCCGAACCACCUUUCCCCAAGUAAGUCCAUCCGCAGGCUGCAGAGGCAGCGCUCCUCUCCACGCUACACCUCCAUAGAGGAGCGGCCGCAGUGCUGGAGCAGCAGCAGUAGCAGGCAGAAUACUAAGAGCCCGGAUAGUGGACUAGACUGCGGGAGCGAGGAGGAGGGUUCGCUUGGUUACAGAGGAGGCUACCACUCAUACACGGGGGGCAGUCAGCUGCGAGUGGGUUCUGGGCCCAACAUGCGGGUUAUUCACUGCGAAGGGCCAGUGGAGCGUCGUGCUCUGGCUGCCGGCAGGAAAAGAUCACUGACCCGCCAGUGCAGUGUGGAGGAGGACUUCCUGGACAACAUUCCAGAGACAAGGAGCAUGCGGGAGUCGUACCACCAUUACCACUAUCAUCCGCACCAUCACCAACCCCAACGCAGGUUCCGGAGCGAAGGCAGGCUGAGCGAGGUUGGCAGGACCUAUCACAGGGACAUUAGGGCCUACUCUGUGGCCAGACUCAACAGGGCAAUGGAUGAACCCCUGAUUUUAGGGAGCUCUCCCUCAACAGGACGCUCGGAUCGACUGGACCAUUCCGGCCGUAGGAUGAAUCAUGGCUGUCCACCCUCUCAGAGAAGACCAAUGACAGUCCCUUCCAUUGAAAUCACCGUGGAGAAUAACAGUGAGGGGAGUGAGGGGAACCUCUCACCUAUCAAGGAUGAUGUUUACUAUACCAAUGUAGCCCAUCGCAGGAAAUGGCCCCCACAGCGAACUGAGCAACGAUAUGAUGGUUAUGGUGGACGGGAACGGCGGUCUUCAGACUACUAUGAGGAGUCGGAGCUCGAAGACUCCAGAAUAUUUGUAGCCAUGUUUGACUAUGACCCCCUGUCAAUGUCUCCCAACCCUGAUGCUGCUGUAGAGGAACUUCCCUUCAAGGAGGGCCAGAUCAUAAAGGUGUUUGGAGAGAAGGACACAGAUGGAUUCUAUAGAGCAGAGGUCUGUGGCCGCAGGGGGCUCAUCCCCUGUAACAUGGUCUCAGAGAUCCAGACGGAUGAUGAUGAUAUGAUGGACCAGCUGCUCAAACAGGGGUUUCUUCCUCUCAACACGCCCAUUGAGAAAAUAGUGAACUGUAAUAGGUUCAAAGAUGGCCGUUCAAUUAAUCGCAGGUCCCGGAAAUCCAAGAGAGAAAGGAACAAAAGGAGUGGAAGGCAACACGCGGUGUCGACGCGGAGGAUGGUGGCCCUAUAUGACUAUGAUCCCAGAGAGAGCUCUCCUAACGUUGAUGUGGAGGCCCGCUAUGGGGGCAGCUUGCAGAGUGAGGAGGCUGAACUGACGUUUUGUGCAGGUGAUGUGAUCACAGUGUUUGGAGAUAUCGAUGAGGAUGGCUUUUAUUAUGGGGAGCUCAAUGGACACAAGGGUUUGGUCCCCUCCAAUUUUCUUGAAGAAGUGCCUGAUGACGUGGAGGUUUACCUCACAAACACCCCGAGCCGUCACCCCCAGGACCACCCGUCCCGGACAAAGAACAAAAGGGUAUAUCCUGUUACACACUAGCCGUCUGUCAUCCAUUUAUUUUAAUCUUCUUCCUGCUCCGCUGUUUUUUUCCUCUUCUCCGUCUGUGUUUGUGUUGUGUGACAGCCGGUUGCUUUUUUGAUGGAUCAUUGAAGGAAAACAGAAACGAAAAGAGAAAUGAAGACAGCUUACUAAACACAGAGACUUACCUUUAAAUGCAAGACUGGGGAACCUUUAUUUUUAUGUCAGAUGCUCUGCGGAAGCAUUUGAGGAGAAAUGUGAACUGAAGAAGAGUGUUCAUUUCACUCCGUAACGGCUCAGUAUCUGUCACGUUUGAUUUGGCUCCAACACCCUUGGUGAAGUUACCAUGCUGAAAGGUGAUAGAUUACUCCAAAAGACUGGUAAAUUAAAUACUUAUCUUCUCUUUUCAUUGCCAUUAUAGAGUGUCACUGUUAGCGUAAAUACUCAUAAUGAUGUGUUGUGCAACUAUACAACUAAAAUUAAGGGGAAAGUAUGGCAUGUUAAAGUGUUUUUGCUGUUAAGGAGUACAUAAUUAGUUCAUUGUCACUAAAUAUUAGAUUACUGUCAUGUCACUGUGUAAAAACAGUCAAUUUCUUAAGAUUAUUUUGUUCCACUUGCAGUCUGAACAGGCUUAUUAAUGUUUUAAUGCGAGUUUAGUUUUUUUGAAGUGAAGCAUAUUUUCUUUUAAUUAUUUUUGCAGUUUUACUAAAACAAUUCCCACAGGUGACUGUUUAGAGUGUCGCCCCCUAUUGGCUGGAUGUAUUAUUUUAUGAUGCAAAAUGUACUAUACAUUCCAUAAUUGACUGUAUGGUGGCCCUUCUGGGACAGAAAGGACUGUGAGAGGAGAUGGGAGUGUCUGUUGUACAGUAAUGACGUUGAGAUGCUUUAAAAGGCAAAGAAACACUUCCUUUUCUUUUUAAACAUCCAGCCCUGAACUGUCCCUUGCGGGUCUUCCGUUAGGUUCCCGUGGAAAAAGCGGGCCCUCCCAGAAGAAGUGCCACCCCCACAGUGCGCCCACACAUCCCGGGGUCCGGCCCCGCAGCACAGGGGCCCG